rnacentral:lncRNA from 1 species
UUAUCUUCUCUCUUUCAAGGCAAAAAAGGACACAGCUUCUCAGCGUCUGACGUCCGCCUGUCAGACUUCUUGGCCCUCGGGCUGGAAAAACUCUGGCGUUCUCAGGAAUCCUUGCAAGCCUGGCUCCGAGGGGAAGCUCACCCGUGCAGACCACAGGGAGGAGCGAGAAGCCUUCAAGGCGCAGACCAGGUUGGACUAGAUUCAGAAGCCUAAUUACCACCAGAAAAUUAAAGAAAGUGCCUACAACAGUGCCUGGCCCAUUGUGGAUGCCCCAAUAAAAUGUAUCGAACAAACGACAAUAGCCACAUGAAAUAGAUGAAAAGACAAGGUUCCGGAAGGAUAGGCAAUUUGGCCCAGACUACACAACCAAGAGAGAGCAGAGAAAGAACAAUUACCAGGUAUUUGUGGCUUCAAAGCCAGGGUUUUUAACACCCAUGCCACCGUCUCUCACUCCCAGC